UACGUAGGGACCAAGCGUUGUCCGGAAUCAUUGGGCGUAAAGAGCGUGUAGGCGGCUUGUUAAGUCUUGCGUGAAAUCUCGGGGCUCAACCCCGAGCGGUCGUGAGAAACUGGCAGGCUAGAGUGCGGGAGAGGGAUGUGGAAUUCCAGGUGUAGCGGUGAAAUGCGUAGAUAUCGGAAGGAACACCAGUGGCGAAAAGCGGCUUCCUGGUCCAGCACCGACGUCAGGCACGAAAGCGUGGGGAGCAAACAGG
rnacentral:rRNA from 1 species